CUCCUCCCCCAGGGGCGUCGGGAGGGGGAGGCGGCGGGAAUGGAGCGGGACGGGAAUUUGUCUACCAGCAACUACAGAAGAUUAAUGAAUUUAACUACAAAUACCAAUGGUUUCUGUCAGUGCACCUGCCCAUCACCCCAAGGACAUCACAACAUGCUGCUGUGCUUUUUUAAACCCAGAUGGCCUGGUCUGGUGGAAAUAUUUCAGGUGGAGAUAUACAGGAGCAAGCUCUGCCAUUUAAUAAGGAGGAUUAAGAGUAAGAUCAGGAUACACCCGGCUCAAAUGUGUGAGACAGAUAUGGCAGGUCAGAUUCCAGGCUAUCCUAAAAUGGACCAAAGUGGAAAUGAGUCUUAUAGCAUGGGAGAUGAAAAUAAUGAAAGCAAAUAAAAUCUUGCAAAAAAUAACUGUCCUAUUGCCUGUGUAUCAGAUGCCUCAAAAUAGGAGUUCUCGCUAUUGUGGCAUGAACCUGGACAUAAUCCUUAGGCCUCUCACUGCUGUGAAGUGAACACCUUGUUUGGAGAAGCAGCGGCUCAUUUGCAACUUGACAAAUCCUGCAGUGCUGACUUCUCUUCUAUAUUCCAAGAGAAAGGAUGGAGAAGCCCAGUCUGUGAAUCUUAGCAUCUCUCUCAUUUUACAGUGUUAGAACCCAGACCUUUGCUGGGGAGAUAAAAACCCCUAGAGCUGAACCAAGGUGUAAACAUUACAACGAAAAUAGCUGCAAGGUAGAUGUGGAGGGUCAGCUCGUUCUGUGGAAGAUGCUUGUGCCUUAAAGCUGGAUUCUGAGAGAAGGCAGCACUUUUACAACAUGUGCAAUAGAGCACUAGAGCCAGAGAAAGCUGAGCAAAUCCAUUGAAAGGGUCAUGCUGUGGAUCGUGGUUUUAAAUGUGCAUUAUCCCACGACCAAGUGGAUCUUAAUGGAAAAUCAUUGAAAAAUCACACAAGCGGAUAAAAGAAACCUACCAGUGCCUCAUCUCUGAAAGUGCUUUUAUGUCACAAGAUGCCCAGAAACUGCACAGAAACAGCCAUCAGAGGAGACCUCGUCCCAGUGCAUGGUGUAUCUCUCAUCUGAAACUGAGCAGAUAAGAAAUCUUCAUGUAACAUGCUUGCCCUUAUCAGGAUAUGGUUAGAUGUCCACACAGUGAUUUUACCAGUCCUGUGACAUGUAGACCCUUCAGGUCACCGGCUUCAGCUCCAUCACAGUAUCCUUACAUGUGUUGGUGGUGCCUUGACCACUGAACCACGCUGGAGAAACUGGUGUACACUCAAUUGGAAGGUCAGAGAAGAGUUGAAGGAGUAUAUGGAAAAUCACAGAACUUCUACAUCAGUCUUGUCUUCAUUUUGGGAUCAAGUAUUCAAAACCAGACAUCAAAUGAGUGGACAUCACAAAACAAAUCCAUCAUAAAAAAAACAAACCCACAAAUGAAAGAGAGGGACAGAAGAAAGAAACCUGAAGAUAAUCCUGUGUGCUGCAACACAAAAGCAACUAGAAAGAAGGAUUCAAGCCCCCUGAAGCGCAAACUCCUGAAACCAGCAAUUACCUUUAGUUCCAGCCUGUGUCUGUCUCUUAAUUCUUUCUGCUGAAGGCCCUGACCCCACAGCAGAACAGGAUCUGUUGCCGGUCGCAGCCGGCUCAGUUGCACACAGCUCAAGCCAGCUGUGUGUCCUGCAGCAUAGAUUGAGCAGCUGAUGGCUGAAUGGCAUCGAGACAACACUACCAUACUGACCGUGACUCCAAGCCCCUGCAGAACUCCAGCAUGCCAAAGCAAGUAGCCUCAUUUCCUCCUUGUCCCAGCGUUGUCUCUCGUUAUACCCAACACAGUCACUCGGGAACUAUAUUUUAGAGUCUAUUGAUGCUGUUACCCCUUAAGAAAUUCUUUUAAACUAACAAAGGUCUGCUGUCACAAGGUUACCAGCGACGUUUUCCUAACGGGCCUUGGAAAACCAGCUGUUUUUCCUUGCUAUCUUGUGGUGCUUUGUUUGUUUUUCACCUGGAGGGGGCAGCAAAUGAACAACGUCAAAGGGGAAUUUUUACUUUUCCAAUGCUUUUCUAGCAUUCUUUUUUACCCGAGAUCCUCAGUGUGAACUACAUACCGAUGUGAGAGUUUAAAACGAUGAUUUUUACCUAUUUGCUAUGAGGACAGCUGGAAUGUAUGAGUUGGAAAUCUUCAUUCUUUUUGGUAUUAAACAGUAGAAUUUAUUUAGUAAAAUCUAUCUCCAGUUUAUAAAAAGGGCAGUUCUGUAUGAAGGUUUAAGAUUUUUAUGACUAUGGCAAUUAGGUCUAUGUAUAUUUUAAAGGAUAAAAUAACCAAAAAACCAAACUCCAUGACAAUAUUAGUUAAUGUCACCUACGCCUUACUUAAUGUAUUUCAAAUAUUUAUUUUCUGUGUUGCAAAUUAAUGUAAUAUUACAAUUCAAAAUAAUGUUCUCACAGCCAUUUUUCUUCCCUCAGAAAAUAAAACUGAGGAUACACUAAAUCUAGUGAUGCUUUUAAUUCAUGUAUAAUUAAUGCAUUUAUGUACAAGGGUGGCUUGUGUGUACUGCUGACAGAGCAUGGGAGUUAAAGGUCUGAAUUCACGGGGAAUUCUACUGAUGUUAAACAAUAUAACCAAGUUUUAUUGCCUUGUGUCAGCCACAAAGUACAGUUUUAUCAUCUAAAAUUUUAUGGAGGCAUGCCAUAUUACUGAUUGGGAGUAUAGUGGGGGGGGUUGUGACUAUAGGAAAAUGCUAACUAUUAUUUAUCACUGUGAAUUUCUUGAAAGUGUGUGGCUGUUGUUCUGUUAAGUUACAGAUCAAGUAGUUAGCAAGAAGCCACAGAGAGAGGGCAGUCUAAUCUUUUCAGUGGCUGAGUUCUAUCCAAUAGUUUCUAUAAAAGAAGGGAAGAUCAUAGAGGCAUCUGUGAGUAUCAGGUCCUAUAAUCAGUGUCCAAAAGCUAACUGGGAAGAAUGAAGCUGAUUCCUAAUAGGACUGAUUUAUUGAUAGUCUAACCUUCAUGAUUUUCAUUUAAAAUCAUAAGUGUUAUAAUGCUUGUGAGACCUUUAUGGAGUCUGAAACUUAAUCAAGGGAAUUCAAGACCUUUUGGUCUAAAUGGGUCAGAAUUUCCCACUGUGUAGAUACACCUUAUCUAUACGUCAAGAAUGAAAGGCUGAAUCAUCCAUAUUCCAGGUUCCUCUGGACUUUUGUCCCUUAACUUUAGAAGACUUAACCAACCCUCCUUUUCUCCUUCAAAAAAAAAGAGAAUGUGUCAGUAUUUCCAGGGAGUUUGCACUGCAAGUGCUGCCUAUGAUGACAACUUUGUCAGAAUUCUGAAAUUUUCAUUUAAAGCUAUUAAAUGGGCUGGAAAUAGGCAGUUAUGCUUACUUUUUUUUUUUUAAAGAGUAAUUGAAAUAGCUAGAAAGUCCUAGUAGCUCUACUUUUCUACAAAGCAUUUCAGAAAGGUUGUUAUAUUAAGUCAUUGUGAAAUGACUUUAAAUUCAUUGAAUAUACAGUUAUAAUUCUCAUUUAAAUGAGUAGAAAUGAAAACAAUAAAUAUUUUCCUAGUCUGUGAAUUGGUAUGUUACACCUUUGAACUACACUUGGAUUCACAAGGGUAUUACAGAAAAUGUUCUCUAUAUUAUUGGUCUCUGCUUCAUAGCUCUAAAAAGGUUCUGACUCUCCUGUAGGAGUUAAAACUCUAGAUUUUUGACUUUUGUGGUUUUUCUGUGAUGGUUUUUCCACCUUAAAGAUGACAAAUGUUCAGGGAAGUGGGGAAAAUUAUUACAAAUAGUUACACAGAAUGGCACAGCUUGACUUUCAGAGUUGGCUUUCAUCUUGAAGCCUGCUGUUUAAAUCCCAGAUUUUUCCAUAUUGGCCCUUGGUUCUACUGAGGUCACUGUUUUAGCACCUUCUCUUCAUCAAAUGCUUCAACAACUCCCCUGAGUAGUUAAGUUCUCUCAUGCAAGUUAAGGGCUUUUAUUCUUUGAGCAAUGUAAGCCUCAUUUCCGUGGUGCAAAAAACUGUUAAUCCACACAAACAACUGAGGAUUAAAUCCCCUUUUGCAUCUUUCUUGUUUGAAUACUGUUGCAUAAAAUAUCAACUCUACAAUUCACUCUUACUUUAGAAUUAGCAGAAAUACUUUUACCAGUAGAAUUUUUGAGUAUAAUAUAAACUAACUUCAUUGUUUUCUAAAAUACUUUGUUUUCAAAAUAGCUGGACUUUAAUUGCCCUCAUAAAUGUGUCAUGAAAAUAACUGUGUUUUCAUUAUGAAGUGUUUAAAGAAUGAGUAAUCCUGUUUAUUACAUCCAACAUGUGAAUGUAGUGCAUGUAUUUGGAAAUAGUAUUUACUCAGUCAUUAAUUAUUUACAGGUAUGUGUCCUUUUGCUGAGUGCUUGUCAAUAAUCUUGAUAUAGGUGCACCUUUUUAAACCUGCUAUAGUUGACUUUCACAAGGCAAAGAUUUUAAACUUCUAUGCUUGUCUUUCUCCCUUUGAAAUUAUUGUGUGUUAAUGUGACUUUACAGCAUUAAAGACUUGUGUUUGAAUUUGUGACUACCCAGUGCUUCCACUGUUGCUGAAAUUUGAGGAACUCUAAGUGCUUAGAGUGAUACGGUUUUGAGGUAUUCUAAGCAUGGUAUGGGGAAAAUCUGGAAGAUCAAGGAAUUUGGAACACCACAUCUCUGAUCUGCAUUGGUCUUUUCAAAUGUUUUACAAUAAGCACAUACAUAAUUUUCAUAUUUCCCCUGCCCCCUUUUAAAUAAAUUCCACUUGCAGGCCUGAAAGAGUAGCAGGUCACACAGCAGAGACAAGUAAUUUCUAGAAAAGUUAGGUGGACCGUUCAGGCAUAAAAAUACCAUCAUCUGAUAUGAUUAUAUUGCAUUAUGCAAUAUUGGCUGCUAGUAAAUCAAUUUGACACAGUGAACUGUCAUUUUGGGAAUAUAAAUAAAUAAUUGAAAAAUAAUAAACUAGUGACUGAAGUAUUUCAUUGUAUACAGGUCUGAUAGGAAUCUUUGUGCUCUUCUCCAUAGUGAUAUCAAUCUUUCCUAACUAAUAGCCUUAAAUACUCAUGAUAAAAGACAUUAAAAGCCUAAAUUAACACAGUAACUGAGAAAUGUAAUCCCUUCAGACCACUUACACAGGAAGAAUAGAUGAUGACUUUCCAGCUGUGACAAGGUUCAUUUCCUUUUUGACAGGAAGCAUUCUUGUAGUUAGCUCUGCAGAAACACAUGGUAAUGCAUGCUGGCAUCAAAGCCUUUCAUUGCCAGCACUGUGAGUAGGAAACAAGGUCUCUCUGAUACACCAGAUGCAAAUGCAUACAGGUGAAUUACAUGUAUGUCUUCUUUAUGUUACCACUUAGGUAAACUGCUUAGGGAGGAAAAAAAAAAAGUACUGUACAGUUGAAUAUUGAAUGCUGCGUAGGAGUGAUCCUUUUGUGGCGUGAAAAAGAUUUCUAGAGAAAAGGGGUAUUUUUCCCCUACUGGUAGUUUUAUCUCUUAUGUUGAAUAUGCAAAAAGCAAACACUGUGAUCCUGAUUUAACAAAAUAGGCAAAUCUUUAACAGAAAUGUUUUGGGGUUUUUUAAUGGCAAUUAGGGAUAUUGAUCUUUGAGGAUAUAUUUGAUACUGAUUUAGGAUUUGUAUUCAGAAGACACCUAUCUAAAGAUAUAGAUACUGUAAAGACAAGGAUAGCUUACAUUGCUGGUUUGUUAACUGAAAAGCCUGUCUCUCCUAGUUCAGAAGGAUGUGGGCUUUAACUAGUUCAUAAGUCUUUUUCUGUUCUGGUACUCCACAGCCAGGAUAGAAGUAGGAAUAUCAUCUCAAAACUUUUAAAAUCAACUUGCACAUACUGGCAUAUUUCAAGAUUUUCAGUAUGAUAGAGGUUUUUCCACCUUGACUACAUUCCUUUUCAUUUUCUGGAAAGCUUCCUGCUUCAAUUUUUUUGUUUCGAAAUUUAAUGUUGAAUCUCUGUCAAAGGCCCAGCCUCUCUGUGUCUUAUGCUCUGGGGUCCUUUCUGCCUCAGUCAAGUGAUUUGUUUACAUACACUUUGCAUUGCCAUGAUUAUAUUAAGUCUAGCAUUCUACCAGAAAAGUGACUUGCAUCAGAAAUUCUGAAUUACACUGAAGAAAGUACUUUGUAGCACUGUCUGCUUGGAACUGUUGGAUCUGCUCCAUCUUGUUGGUAUUUAAAAAGUAAAGCCUUCCUCCUUUCUUCUGAACUGAGCAUUUUAUAGAAUUAGAAAAUAAGUUUAACUGAAUGAAUAGGAUGGAAACGUGCUAUGUUGUGUUUAGUGGUGUUGUGAAAACUUGGUACGUGCAGUGAGUGGGUGGACGGGGCAGUGGGAGCCAAAUUCGAUGCUCGUGGUAAUAUUUAAAUAAAAUAGCUUGUGGAAAACUUGUCCUAUAGGACCUGGCAGCAUAGUGAAUAGGGAAUAUCCACCUUUGUCCACAUUGGCAGAAUUAACUUCCUGUCAAGUUGAAAUGGAAUACUCUUGCAUCCGUUUGGCAGGAGUGCGGCACUCCCAACACUUGAGCGUUGUGGGUGGUGCUCCAUCCCACAGCGUUGGAGCCAUGGCAUCACACAUGGUGGCAGAGGAGAGUAGGCAGAUGUCUGGCAGGAAACAUAGGUGUGAAGGGGACUGAUAGACGACUCAUGGUACUGGGACAGAUGGUUCUCAAUCUCUGUGGUGGCAAGUGUGUCGUGUCUUCAAAGACAGACAUUUGCUCUAUUAAAUAUUCUUAGCUUAUGUAGAAGGCAACUGACAGGGCUUCUGAAGGUACAGAAGAAGGAGAGUGAUGGGCAGAAAAGUGCUGACAGACUUCUGCUGGGAGCCUGGCUAGGCAAUAUGUCUAGGCACUGUUAAUGGUGUUUGGGUGCAUAAGUAGACAAGUGACCAAAUCCAGAUAAAAUAAAUUAAACUUAUGCAAAAAAUGAAGGCACUGACUAGAAGAACAAUUGCAAAUCUAGAACUGUCUCCUAUUCCUUGUUAUGCUGAUGACCAGCUAUGUGACCCACAGCAAACACAUGUAAUUAGUGUUAGGAAGCCACUUAUUACCUAUGAAAAUAUGAUUUAUUGUCUAGAUAACCAAGGCAUUGACUACUGCUCCUGAAAAUGUCAUCAACCUUUUCCUGUUUAUUUCUCUAUUGACAACUGGGGGUAAGCAGAAAGAAUGCUGGCUAUGCAGUAGUCCUGCAAUGUGAUAUCCCCUGCAUUAAUUCUUGAAAGAUAGCAGUAAUGAAACUGGCACAGUAGAGUUACUUGUAAUAAUGUUGGUGUGAAAUGUCUUGAGGAGAAUUAUUACUCUACCAGGGUUGGUGUUAGGACAUAGAUUCUUUAAAUUUGUUCGCUUCUCAUUACUUUUUUUUUUACUCAAAUGUUUUCAUUGGUAUUUAUUUUAUUUUUGACUAUAAAAAUGAAAAUAAGUGUGCCUAUUUGGGGAUUGGACAGAAUGACCUUCAUUCAACCCUGACCUUUCUGUGAUUCCAUUUCAUUUUUUUAGGCUGUGCCUGCUUUCUGGUUAGUCCAUUUCAGGUCCUCCACUGUAAGACUAAUUUUUCAGAAUUUUCAUACAAAUAUUAAGUUAAAUAUUGUAAAUUAGAAUUUUUCAGUGAGAGUGUAAAUGAAAGGGGAAGCUAGUUCUUUAAGAAUAUACCUUUCAAUGUUUUUGUUACUGAAAGUAAUUGUUUUCCUUUGUCACCUAAAUAUUGUCCUUGCUGUCCUUAGAGAAAAUUCUGUGUGUGUUUUCUUCAUUAAGUUAAAAUGCCUUUACCUUAAUGUAAUUUCCUAUCGCUUCUUGAAAAUUUCCUGUUCUGCUACAUUCCCCUUUGUGGGUGAUUUGUUCGUUUUCAAUUGGUGACAUAGAAUACACUGAAAGUUGUCCCUCCAAACUUUAAUUCAGAAAAAAAGAUCAAAACUAAAUUUGGAAAUGGUUCUGUCCAGUUUUUCUUGAAUAGACUUAUGGCUGAAGCCAAAUUUAGGUGAGGUAGGUCUGCCACUGGUAAAACAGACUACAACCUUUAACUGACCAGACCGUUAUCUAAGACCAUGCUUCAUUAGCAACAGGAUCAUGAAAGAUGAGCUGUGGCUUGGAGGACGUGCUGUAAAUGCUAAUCCACUGAUAUCCUUCUGAAUUUCCCACACACACUUUGUGUUCCCCUGGAAGAUACGGCAUCCUUCGUAUUUGCUUUCCAUUUCCUGGUAGGCGAGAGGCCCUUCAAAUGUGAGGUCUGUUCUUAUGCCUCUAUAGUGGCACUUGCAAACGCAUGCUAGUGAGGUGCCCUACGAAUGUUGACUCUGUUCAUAUAGUUGGUAACUGUAAACAAUCCCUCUGUCAGACAAAUUGUGUACAUCUGUUGGCUUUUAAAAAACAACAACAAAACCCCGCACUUUAAGGUAGGCACUCCCACCGAAGUCAAGCAUUUACAGAUAUUCUUGUUGGGGCCUUGGCUCUCUGAAGGCUUUUUUGUUUAAGGGAAUUGCUUUCUGUCCCUUAUUUACAACUCUUUCUAUAUUUAACUACUACAUAGACUGUGCUGCAAGAUGUAUGGAACACUAACAGGAUAAAUACAAAAAUAUCCAGUUAAAGGUGACAGUACCUGUGCAUAUGUGUGAAGGGGUACUGGGACAAGUGGUAUUGACUUAUUAAAAAACCCAAAACUGUGUUUAUUCACUAACUUUAUGUCUUAGUUUGGUGUUUUAGGUGCACCACGCUGCUUUUUCACUCUGAUUUUGUCUGCAGCUCUGCUUAUAGUGUUUUGAUGCCACCCUCCCACGGAUUGAGGAAAUGAUCACAUUUUUGAUAGUGCUAACGCAUCUCAUUUUGCAGUGUUAGCAGAGUGUGUCAUGUGAUGAGUGGGAGCAUGAGCUGGUCUUAGUAAAACCAAAGUACAUGUUGAAAGUAUGUACUUAGCAGCCUUAGAGGCUUUUUAAAUGUUAAGUUUGUGUGUGUCUAAACUCUUUACACUAAAUAAUGUACUCUUUGCCUUGUUUAUUUUUUUUCAUUUAAAACUGAAAGGUUUAAACUAAGAUAAGCUAAUGUCCACAAGUCACUUCUUGAGGUGUGCAGUGUUUGGUGGAGAGACAGAUUGAUUACUUUUGGUUUGUUACUUGUGUAACAAAAAAAAUAAAAAGGUUAGUUUACUCCGAUUCUUUAGCUCUUAUAAUAAAGGCAAUUCUGAUUACAAAACCAGUGCUCCUUUUGGAGAGCCUUUGGAUGCCAGAAUUAAAAACUGGAAAUGCAUCUAUCAAAAGUGAUAAAAUACCUUGAGCUUAAGGUAAGUUCCCUCUUCACCAAGAGGUCUUCAAUAUCUGGUAAUGGAAUAACAGGAGAAAAAGGCUUUUUCCUAGUUUUUGUGGCAGAUGUGUAAAAAUGCAGAAUUGUAAACAUUAUCCAAAUGUUGUAACAAAAAAUGAAGGAAAUUCCUAUAAUGAAAUGAUCACUUACUGGCCUUGUUGCAACAAUUUGUUUAGUUAUGGGAUACAACUAAGCAUGGCAGGGAGCUGUCAUUAAGUCCUGUACUACUAAACAUCCCUUUUUAGGACAAAUCAUUCUGUAAUACCUGUCAUGAUAUUUCAUCUCUUUUUACAGUGUUACUGUAAAAAAGCAUAUACUUUUUCAUUUAUUUAUAAUAAGCCCUACUUACAGGGACCUGUGAUUUUGUUUCUUUCCAAUUAUCAAUAUACCUUCUUUCACCAGCCUACUGUGCCCUGUUAGAUGCAUGUUAGCCAUCAUAUUAUAAACCCUUGCAUGCUUAACUUUUGCUGUAAAACUGGUUUCACUUGAAAUUAGUGGAAUUGUUCUUUAAUAAAUAAAAAACAUUAUAUAAUGAGAGUCUAUGGGAUCAGGAAGGGAAUGUUUUAAUCAGUGCCUGUAAGAGUAAAUGAUAACACCGUCUGAAAGUACUCUUUUGUUGUACUUGAAAUCUAUACUUAAAAAAUAUUUAGUUCCUAUCUGCAUAGUAUUCCAGACCUAAAUAGAUUGGAUGUUUGAAAUUGCCACUUGUGAAACAGUUUGCCUGAAUUGGGUAAACACAAUUAGGGUUGUUUUGGUUUUGUUUUUUCUCAAGUAAUUUGUUUUGGGUUUGUAAUAGUCUUAAGAUUUUUAAGCACAAUAGAAUGUAGCACCCUCUAUUUCAGAAAUUGUAUCAAAAAUACAAUGAAGUGUAGGAAUACUAAAGAGAAAGAAAAUUAAAAAACUAAACAAACCCAACCUAGCCCCCAAGGAUAUUCUUUACACCAACACACAGCCCAUUGACUGAUUCAGUGUACUGUAUUUAGCAGUGAGGUAUAAAAGGUAGAAAUCACAUGCAGAUCUGAAUGUAAGCAAGACUAAGGAUGGCAUAACUGCAGUGAUGAAAUAUACAGAAAAGCAUGAUCUCUAAACCUUUCCUGUAUUUUGAUAUAGUUCAUGAAUAAAUAUAAAUUUUUUAUUGAUACUCAGUUACAAAAGAGUGCACCUCUAUGUGUAUUGACACGUGUGUGUAUAUAUGUACGUGUUUGUAACUGGGAUGUUCACAACAGUUAGUCUUUAAUGCUUUUGUCUUAUCAAGAGGUUAGAGCUAUGUAGAAGAGGAGACGUAAAUUAGCUUGAGAUAUCUGCCUUACUUAGUAACUUGGAAGAGGCAGAUGACUGCUUCUGAUGGCACAGAAUCCGACAGGUUCACAUUUUUUGUAGUCUUGCUGUCAAAGACUGCAAGAAGAUUUCAUGGAAAUUGUGCAAUCCUGAUGAUAGUAGAGAGGGGGGUCUGUGCUGCUUUAAGAAUAAUUUAUUGGGAAAAUGUCUCAUCCUUCCUAUAAAUCUUAGCUUGAAAAUGCAUGUUUUUCUGUGCUAGGUCAACCAGUUAAAUUUUUUGUUACGUGUGAGGGAAACCAAGUGUUAAGGUAUGCUUUUCUAUUAAGUUAAGCAUACUUCAGGAUGCCUCAGGUCUUUUGCUUGGUGCAUUCAUGUAGUAACACCACCACCUAGACACCACUACCACAAAUAUAGAAACUCCUAAAUAUUGGCAUCACCAACCAUGAGGUUUUUAAACUGGUGUGAUGUAUACAUCGUUAAGUCUAAAAAUUAGUUUUAGCCAACAUAAUUGUUUAAUCUGACCUCUCUGUAGAUUCCAUUCUACAUUCAAUGGAGCAUGAUGGGCAUUCCUAAAAGACAUCUUAAUUUCACGUGAGACAUUAUCUAAAUGUGGGCUAAUUCACCUGUUAGGAUUUCUUACUGCCUGCCUACAGUUAACUUUACAGAGGAAAUGUAGAAGAUAAUACAUCUGUUGACUAUGUGGGUUGAAUCCUCCUGUAGGUGUUUGUUUUAGUGUCUUACCUCAUAGGUCUGCAAAUAGUUGCUGUCAAAAUAAAUAUAUCCUAAUUAAUUGUUUGAGGGAAAUCUUAAAUUCAGAGAAGCUUAUGUCAUAAAUUGUUAAGUUCUGCAGUUUCCAUUGUUUGAUGUUGGGUAAAUGCUAAGAUUAACCCAAAAGUGUAAGUCUGGGUUUUCUUAUAGCCUAUGUACAGCUGUAUUCUUGGUUGAUCUUGCAUGAGGGAAGAGCCAGAACCCAAAGGUUUAGAUUCUAGAUUUGGUAUUUCCUGAAUCUGAUAGAAGUGAGGUUUUGAUUAGUAUCAGAUCAUAAUUCCACUGUCUCAGGGCAUGAUUUUGACCAAUAGUAAGUAUGUGGCAGACCUCACGUUUUAAUACAGAAUGAAUCCUGGACAGUAUUUGUCAAGGAUUAACUUGUUAUGGUUAAAUUCUUUAGUUUGAGGUUUGUGUCUUGGUCAUAGUACAGAAUAGGUAGAGUAAAUGGCAAAUUCAAGUUCAGAAUUUUUCAGUAUAUUCCAACCAGUUUACAGCUUUCAGUACAUUGAGCUACAAUUAUUGCACAUGCAAAUAUGUGCAUCUCUGGUAUGUGUGGUUGCAUGCUGGUGCAAUUGUAUUCAAAAGAUCUAAGUCCAUAUAGGUCCUAUAAAGACCUAUAACAACUAGAUUGGGACACUUCUUUUGUAGGAGUUUAGAUCUUUUGUUGCCUCUACAGAGGCUUUAUUUUCAAAGAAUAGAUAUAUCCACAAAGAUAGAUACAGAUAUAUUUGGACAUAUCUAUUUCUAAUAGAUAUAUCCACAAAGAUAGAUAUAAAUAUACCUAUCUUUGUGGAUGUAUCUAUUUCUAAUAAGAAGAAUAUCCACAGCUGCACAACUGACACUGAAAUAGAAAUACUGCUGAAAACAUGGUGCAAACUCCAUGACCUUACUCCAGUGGUAGGGGAAAAAUGGUGAAAGGGCGUUACCUUGCUUGUGUAAAAGGAGAGGCAUUUUAGGUCUAGAACCCCUCACUUGGGAGUACAGCUAGCUAUAAGCAAAAUCAAGCAGGAGAGCUGUGUUCUGGUCUAGCUCUGCUACUGGACAGGGCCAUGAGAUCUUGAGCAGGAUGGCCUACUGUUUGGUGUUUUGGAUUUGUGAACACUACAGCUAGAGACUGACUGCCUGUGCUUGUGCAGUGCUCAUUCACUGCUACUGAUGGUAGUAAUGACUGAUACAUUUCUGUUUUAUUACAGCACUCAGAAGAGCUUGGACCUCCACAAACGCUGACAUCGCACUGGUGAGGUGUUCGGCUGUAGCUUUUGCUGCUCUUCUUUCCCUGACAAACAACUUCUCUGAAAGCAUAUUAGGAAAUAUCACCUGGGUUCAGGAACCUCAUUAACUAGUUCCCAGCCCAUCUUUACCUUCAAAUCACUCCUUGUGGAACAUUAGGUUCUUCACGCUUAAACUUCCGCUUGAGCAUCCCAGCAAAUAAAGAAGCUGUUGGCAUGGUCAGGCUUUUGUGCUGAAAGCCAAGGAUUAUCUGGAAGAAGAGAAGAAAUGGUCCUUAUGUGGCCAUUAAAAGCACUGAGAAUGGCCUUUCCAAAGUGCUUUGUGAGCGGUAUGGUACAGGUGGUAACUUCAGUGUGCUGAGAGUAUCGUGGAGAUUUAUCUUACACAAAAAAGAUUUAUCUUGCACAAAAUCACAUGUUGGUUUUUGGUCUGGUUACCUCUUGCUCAUACAUUCUGCUUACUUACUAAUGAAGAGUUUGACAUUUCAAGGCAGAAUCUGUUGAAUAGUUCCAAAGCUGAUGGUGAAAACCCUACAGGUGGUUUCUGCAUUACAUCUUUCAUUUUUAAUACAGUCUGUAUAAAACAGUAAAUGAUUCAAGAAAAUCUACUGAUGCUGUGGCAUUCAAUGUGGUAAAAAAUAUUCAGUAAAUUUCUUCAUGGUUACUUUUUAUAUCAAAAUGUGUCUAU